rnacentral:lncRNA from 1 species
CUUUGCUUCAGAUGAUCCUGGAUCAUGGAGCCAUGAAGAUGUUGAUAGUUGGAUAUCAGGAACAGAUGAUGUCAAUCACUAAUGGGAUCACAGUUGACCAGGGGAAACUAAAAUCAUGGGAAACAAAACCAUGGAUAAGGCAGUACUACUGUAUACAGUUGGCCCUCCAUAGCCAUGCACUCUGCAUCAGUGGAUUCAAUCAGCCAUGGAUAAAAAAAUGUUUGAAAAGUUUAAAAGAAUGGUUGUUUCUGUACUGAACAGGGUUAGGUGUUCAAGCUGUGUUAAAUCACAUCCCUGAUGUUUAUGUGGUCAGGAUAUGUGCCCUUGAGUGACCAAGCAGAAGUGAGUGGAACUUUCUACCAUGCUUUGUAUGCUAAGACUUCCAUCAACGAGUGAUUUUCUUGCUUUAAAUUUAAUGCUGACUCCAUUCAAGCAGAAAAUAGAUUUGAAGACAAUGAAAAAUGUGCCACUUUAUUUCCCUAAGGCCUUCUCUGCACAGUAGGCCUUGAACAAAAGUAAUUUCAUAAGGAGAGACAAACAACUAAGUGAAUCUUCAAAUACAAAAAUUUAUUGUUUUUUUUUGCUAAAUUAUUUUACUAAGUAUUGAUUUUCUGAUUCUUAUUAUCCAUCUUCAGAUCACAAGGCUUAGUGUAGAAUUUGCUUACACUGUGAUAACAAAAUUCAUAAUCAAAUGGGAAGAGGAAAUAAUCCUACCGUGGUGCAUGCCAUUUUUCUAUCCAAGGGAACCUCGUAAGUUGCUGAUAAGAAUAAAUUGCAGUGAAUGAGAAAAUCAUGAAAAGUCA